rnacentral:tRNA from 1 species
GGCUCGUUGGUCUAGGGGUAUGAUUCUCGCUUUGGGUGCGAGACGUCUUGGGUUCAAAUCCCGGACGAGCCC